UCUGAACUAUGAAGCAGGUGUCUGCACGGCUCUGGAGCCUGUGCUCGGCUUGCUUGCGGUAUAUCAGGCCUAGCAGCAGGAAGCUGGGGUCACUUGGGAGCUUAGAUGGACUUUGCGUACCACUGCCAGCUGGAUCAUCUCCUACCACAGAACUGUAAGAAACUGGUCUCUGCAGAGGGGAUGCUUCUCUGUACCUUAGCUCUUGCUGCAUAGUCCUCAAACUGGGCUUGUAAAGCCUGAAGGAUCCUUGCCUGAUUGCCAGCUUGUUUGGACUCCACAUGAUGGGUGAAAAGGUUACAGUCAAGAAGUGAUUUGUUAAUUGGUGCUGUCUCCUGGAACACAGGGAAUGGAGCCCUUGUUCUGUUAUCACAAUGCCUGAUGAUGGUGUUCCCUGUGAGUUCUUUGUCUAACAUACCAUAUGCGUGACCUAGGAGCAGAGCUGUGCAGUGAAGUGAACCCACCAAGACUUUAAAUAGUUUUGUCUUAAACUAUUAAGCAUCUGGAAACACUUUAUUGUUCCUCUGUCUUGCCUGAAUGGUGGUGUGUGAAACUUGGGAACUCAUUGAGAUAAAUAUGUAUUGCAGACAAGUUUUUUCCUCAUUAUAGAGCCAAAGAUGGCCAUCAGUUCCAGGCUUUCUGGGGAGAAGCAGGGUGUGUUAUAGGUAAUGAGAAUGGCUAAAAAAUCAUUGAAGAUUUGCCACGAAGAUCGCUACAGAGUGCCACUUUAUAUUCUGUGUAAAUUCCCUUUCUAGUGCCCUUUCCCAAAGUGCCACUGCUCCGUACUUGAGUCUGAGCUGGGUGUUGGCUGAAUGGAACUGAUGCAAUGACUGGAAUGUGGUUGGGGUGACAAACAUGUGGGGCUUGACCUGUCUCACUCAGCAUGUAAUUGCUGAGCAACUUCACCUGUGUUAAUAAAGUCAGUGAGUUUG